rnacentral:rRNA from 1 species
CACGUAGGGGGCGAGCGUUGUCCGGAUUUAUUGGGCGUAAAGAGCUCGUAGGCGGCUCAGUAAGUCGGGUGUGAAAACUCCAGGCUCAACCUGGAGACGCCACCUGAUACUGCUGUGGCUAGAGUCCGGUAGGGGAGCAUGGAAUUCCUGGUGUAGCGGUGAAAUGCGCAGAUAUCAGGAGGAACACCGGUGGCGAAGGCGGGUCUCUGGGCCGAUACUGACGCUGAGGAGCGAAAGCGUGGGGAGCGAACAGG